UGUUCUCCGUCCCUCCCACGGGCUGCCAGCGUGGAGCCGGAGCCGGAGCUGAUGAUGAUGAUGAUGGCGGCGGCGACAGCGGCGGCGGGGCCUCGGCUCUGAGAGCGGCGGUGCAACAGGCCGCCCCGUGACAACCCCCUUCCAUUAACACCCGCGACAACACUCGGCCUUUUCUCCAAAGAAAAGACACGAUGGAGAGCUCCGUGGAGAAGACGAUGGACCCCACUGUAGCUGAGAUGGGCAAAAUCUUCAACGAGGCCAUGAAGAUGUUGGAGGACACUGAAAGGGAGACAGAUGAAGAAAAGGAGAAAAAGAAAUAUGCUAGAAAAGAUAUUCCUGGUCCAUUGCAGGGCAGUGGACAGGACAUGGCAACUAUUCUUCAACUUGUACAGGACCAAAU